rnacentral:rRNA from 1 species
GUGGGGAAUCUUGCGCAAUGGGCGAAAGCCUGACGCAGCCAUGCCGCGUGAAUGAUGAAGGUCUUAGGAUUGUAAAAUUCUUUCACCGGGGACGAUAAUGACGGUACCCGGAGAAGAAGCUCCGGCUAACUUCGUGCCAGCAGCCGCGGUAAUACGAAGGGGGCUAGCGUUGCUCGGAAUUACUGGGCGUAAAGGGCGCGUAGGCGGACAGCUUAGUCAGAGGUGAAAGCCCAGGGCUCAACCUUGGAAUUGCCUUUGAUACUGGCUGUCUUGAGUUUGGGAGAGGUGAGUGGAACUCCGAGUGUAGAGGUGAAAUUCGUAGAUAUUCGGAAGAACACCAGUGGCGAAGGCGACUCACUGGCCCAAUACUGACGCUGAGGUGCGAAAGCGUGGGGAGCAAACAGGAUUAGAAACCCUGGUAGUCC